rnacentral:misc_RNA from 1 species
UGGAGGAGGUUCUGGUGGAGGUGGAGGUGGAGCUGUAGCUGGUGAACAUGGUGGUUAUGCUGGUGGAAGUGGUAGCGGUGAAGGUGGUGGAAGCGGAUAUGGUGCUGGAGGGGCACCAGGAGGUGGUUAUGCAAGUGGAGGUGGUGGAGGUAGCGGUGGCGGUAGCGGUGGAGCUGCUGCUGGUGGAGAACAUGGUGCAGGUGAAGGAGGUGGAAGUGGUGGUGGAUACGGUGCUGGUGGGGCGCCAAGUGGUGGAUAUGGUGGUGGAGGUGGUCAUGGUGGGGGUGGUGGAGGUGGUUCAGCAUCGGGAGGAGCAUCAGGUGGUGGAUAUGGAGGUGGUGAAGGUGCCGGUGGUGGUGCAGGCGGAGCACAUGGAGGUGCAGGAGGAUAUGGCGGUGGUGGUGGCAGUGGAGGUGGAGCCGGUGGUGGUGGAGCAACUGCUGGUGGAGCACAUGGUUCAGGUGAAGGAGGUGGAAGCGGUGGUGGAUACGGUGCUGGUGGAGCACAAAGCGGUGGAGGUGGCCACGGAGGUGGCGGUGGAGGUGGUUCAGCAUCAUCAGGAGGAGCUGGUGGAGCAUCAGGAGGUGGAUACGGAGGUGGUGAAGGUGCUGGUGGUGGUGCAGGAGGAUCUCAUGGAUCAGGAGGAUAUGGUGGCGGUGGUGGUGGUGGAUCCGGUGGUGGAGGAGCGUAUGCGGGCAGUGAAGGUGGUGGACAUGCAAGUGGAUAUGGUAGUGGUGAAGGGGCUGGAUCCGGACAUGGUGGUGGUGGUGGCUAUGCUCCUUGAAAUCUUGUUCUCUUCACAAUUUGCAAACACUAUAUGAUUUCCUAUUCUUAUCUACAAUAUUAUUAAAAAAUAACAUGAUCAAAUUGUGAUAAGAGAUUUAUUGCAUGAAAGCAAAUUAAUAUUGUUGCAGCUCUUAAAGCUAUAUGUUUUUUAAAUUCUAAUGUAAGAAAGAUAUCUAAACAAUGAUGUCUUGCACAAUAUGUUUG